rnacentral:rRNA from 1 species
UGGGGAAUUUUGGACAAUGGGGGCAACCCUGAUCCAGCAAUGCCGCGUGUGUGAAGAAGGCCUUCGGGUUGUAAAGCACUUUUGUCCGGAAAGAAAACGUCGUGGUUAAUACCCGUGGCGGCUGACGGUACCGGAAGAAUAAGCACCGGCUAACUACGUGCCAGCAGCCGCGGUAAUACGUAGGGUGCAAGCGUUAAUCGGAAUUACUGGGCGUAAAGCGUGCGCAGGCGGUCCGCUAAGACAGAUGUGAAAUCCCCGGGCUUAACCUGGGAACUGCAUUUGUGACUGGCGGGCUAGAGUAUGGCAGAGGGGGGUAGAAUUCCACGUGUAGCAGUGAAAUGUGUAGAGAUGUGGAGGAAUACCGAUGGCGAAGGCAGCCCCCUGGGCCAAUACUGACGCUCAUGCACGAAAGCGUGGGGAGCAAACAGGAUUAGAUACCCUGGUAGUCCACGCCCUAAACGGUGUCAACUAGUUGUCGGGUCUUCAUUGACUUGGUAACGUAGCUAACGCGUGAAGUUGACCGCCUGGGGAGUACGGUCGCAAGAUUAAAACUUAAAUGAAUUGACGGGGUCAUAGCUGUUUCCUG